UAUAUAUAUAUAUAUAUAUAUAUAUAUAUAUAUAUAUAUAUAUAUAUAUAUAUAUAUAUAUAUAUAUAUUUUUUUUAUUUUUUUUUUAUAUUUCUUUUAAUUGGGGUAGCCCCCAAAAUAUUGGGACAUAUAAAAAAGACAACUCUGUUCCGCAGAGUAGCUGUUGACAUUAUAGUUGCGCAGGCACUUUGUUGACUCUAGAAAACAUCGGGCCAAUCGCACAUCCCCAUAGCGGCGACUUUGCAUGCGGAUGUCAUCCAUAUCAACUUUCAAUGACAGUUUCUGCGCCUACCAUGGUGACCAAGAGUAACAGGGAAUAAGGGUUCCUUUCCUUACAGGGACCCUGAGAAAUGGCUACCACAUGCAAGGAAGGCAGCAGGCGGGCAAAUUACCCACUCCCGACGCGGGAAGGUAGUGACGACAAAUAACAAUACAGGACACUUUAGAGGCCCUGUAAUUGUAAUGAGUCCACUUGAAAUCCUUUAACUCUGAUCAAUUGGAGGGAAGACUGGUGCAGAGCCACUGACCCAUGCGUCCUGCAGCUGAAACUCCACU
rnacentral:rRNA from 1 species